UUGCAAGGCUCAUAACUAUGAUAAAAUUAUAUUCUAAGCUCUAUGAAUGUUGGUGAUAUAUCAUAUAUUAUUUCAUGCAGAGCACAUUUCACAUUUUAAUGAAGAGGCACACUCUCCAUACAUCAAGAAGUAGAAGACCAUCAUGCAUCCAGGAGAGGUACAAAGGAUUCAAAUAGCUAGUGCUUUAUAUCAAGAUCAUGAUAUAUAUAUCUAUUUGAUGAUCCUUUUAAUGUUGUUGAUGCUCAUGAUAUUUUAUUUGGCGCUUCCUUUUGUAUUAUCUAAUUUGGAUCUUUAAUAGGGUCAUUACUAAAUUUGUUAUUACUUUACUUGUGAUAUUAAUGCCGACAUUUUUAGUUUGCUCUUAUUUUUGUGUUUGCCUAGAUGAUGAAGCAAUAUAAUUGAGUAGCUU